rnacentral:lncRNA from 1 species
UGGAUUUUGCCUUAAAAAGAGUUCUUCGACUCUCCUAGUUGGGGGCGGAGGGGAUGGGUUAUGUCCUUGAGCAUCUUGUGGUUCUUCUGGUACAGCGUUAUGAUUUCUGCGAUUGUUAUUGUUUCUCGCAGGGCGUCCUCUCUUAGGCGGCAUUCUAGUAGCAAAGAUGUGCCAAUUAGUACACUCUAGCAUAAUCUAAUACAAGCCUCUAAAGAAUUCUUGUACAGGUUAACUUAUUCUAACUUGUAA